rnacentral:rRNA from 1 species
ACAUGCCUACAACAUAUCGUUAAUGCAUCGGAUAUCAUUAGAACUCCACAGUUAAGUGCUCUCAUGCUAGAGUAGUACUGGGAUGGGUGACCGCCUUGGAAGUCCUAGUGUUUUACAUGCC